ACGGAAAGUAGCUUGCUCUUUGCCGGCGAGCGGCGGACGGGUGAGUAAUGUCUGGGAAACUGCCUGAUGGAGGGGGAUAACUACUGGAAACGGUAGCUAAUACCGCAUAACGUCGCAAGACCAAAGAGGGGGACCUUCGGGCCUCUUGCCAUCAGAUGUGCCCAGAUGGGAUUAGCUAGUAGGUGGGGUAACGGCUCACCUAGGCGACGAUCCCUAGCUGGUCUGAGAGGAUGACCAGCCACACUGGAACUGAGACACGGUCCAGACUCCUACGGGAGGCAGCAGUGGUCUAGCUU
rnacentral:rRNA from 1 species